UGAGUCGACUCCCUCGAGUACGAGC
rnacentral:siRNA from 1 species